rnacentral:lncRNA from 13 species
CCAUUGCCUCCCCCACCUCCCGCCCAGGCUGCAGCGAGAGGGGCGACCCCCGAAAGUUGCGCGGAGGCGAGAGCAAUGAGGCAAGAGAGAAGUUUUUAAAAACAGAAAAAUGUGAUUGCAUAAACAUCGUUGUUGGCAGGAGGACUUGGUGGAUUCAGCAGCUGCAGUCUGUCUGUGUCCAGUUUGUUGGGAAUGGCCUUGCUUCCUGGGAUUUGUUUUUCCAUAGCUGGAAUCCUGGGUUACUUAGUUUGACCAAGACUGCGCGUUGCAGUCUUUCCGUGAGUAUGAUCAUUCUUGCCCAGUAGGAUAAUUCCAGCAGGGUUUUCUGCUGAAAUGGCAUGACCUCCUUUGACUGACCUCAAGCUCUGCCAGCACUGCUGUUUGAACAUCAUCCUUUCCCACCCCCGCUGCUUCCCCCUGUCCCUGCAAGCCUUGCUGCAGUUGUGCAAAAAAAAUUCCUUCUUUCUUCAGUGCCAUCACUAUGUUGAGUAUUUCUGCUUUUACUUCUCAGGUUUUCUGGCUUGACCUCUCCACCUCCCUCCAUCCAACAUGGACGUAGUACCUAAUCCCUUUUGUGGGAUAUGUAUGUUCCUGUGGUGUGCACUGAAAAAGUGGGAUUUACUUAUUGUAGACCUUUCCUUAUUUUUACUUGUAUUUUGUUAUAUUUACUUUAAUGCACUGUAGCUUGUGCUGUGUGGUCACAAGGCAUAAUCUUAC